CUACGGAGGGUGCAAGCGUUAUUCGGAAUCACUGGGCGUAAAGGACGCGUAGGCGGGUUGGCAAGUCAGAUGUGAAAUCCUACAGCUUAACUGUAGAACUGUAUUUGAAACUGCUAACCUAGAGUAUGGGAGGGGGAGAUGGAAUUAGUGGUGUAGGGGUAAAAUCCGUAGAUAUCACUAGGAAUACCGAAAGCGAAGGCGAUCUCCUGGAACAUAACUGACGCUAAGGCGUGAAAGCGUGGGGAGCAAACAGGAUUAGAAACCCUAGUAGUCC
rnacentral:rRNA from 1 species